AGAGAGAGACAUGCGCGCAUAUCAAUAAGCGGAGGAAAAGAAACUAACUAGGAUUCCCUCAGUAACGGCGAGUGAAGCGGGAAGAGCUCAAAUUUGAAAUCUUCAAGGUUCUACCUUGACGAAUUGUAGUUUAAAGAAGUGUUUUCGGUUAGAGGAGUAGUAAAAGUUCUUUGGAAUAGGACAUCAUAGAGGGUGAGAAUCCCGUAUUUGACUAUUCUUUCUAGCUUUGUGAUACACUUUCAAAGAGUCGGAUUGUUUGGGAAUGCAGUCCAAAAUGGGUGGUAAAUUUCAUCUAAAGCUAAAUACUGGCGAGAGACCGAUAGCGAACAAGUACCGUGAGGGAAAGAUGAAAAGAACUUUGAAAAGAGAGUUAAACAGUACGUGAAAUUGUCAAAAGGGAAGCGUUUGACACCAGUGUUGUUUUCUCGAAAAUCAAUUAAAAAAGGCCGGAUUUUGUGUUGUAUUGACCUUAAAAGCUUUCUUCACUCUUUUCUUGUCUUUUUUAAUGCACUUUUCGUUUAACAAGUCAACAUCAGUUUCUUUUGUUGUAAAAGGGUCAUUGGAAGGUGGCUUUCUUUUCGGAGAAAGUGUUUAUAGCCUUUGAUCUCUGCAACCGGAGAGACUGAGGUCUGCAGCGUAGACUCUUCGGGGUUAGAUACACUUGUGCUAAGCUAUAGCCUUGUAUAGACAACUUGUUGACUAUGCUCAGUCAUGUAGCUUACUCGCUUGUGCUAUUUUACCUACGCUUAGGAUGUUGACAGCAGUAUAGACUGU
rnacentral:rRNA from 1 species